rnacentral:tRNA from 1 species
GCCCACUUAGCUCAGAGGUUAGAGCAUCGCAUUUGUAAUGCGAGGGUCAUCUGUUCAAAUCUGAUAGUCGGCU